AUGGCUCAGCAGACAAGCCCGGACACCUUAACAGUACCUGAAGUGGAUAAUCCGCAUGGUCCAAACCCGUGGCUGAACGAGGAUCUUGUGAAUUCCUUGCGGGAAAACCUGUUGCAGCACGAGAAGUCCAAGGCAGCAAGGAAAUCCGUUUCUCCUAAGCUCUCUCCGGUGAUUUCUCCGAGAAAUUCCCCCAGGCUCCUGCGCAGGAUGCUUCUCAGCAGCAACAUCCCUAAGCAGAGGCGUUUCACUGUGGCACAUACGUGGUAAGUACAUCCCCAUUUCUGAAGCUUUUUGCAGAUGGGUAAGUCUUGGUGCUGGAAUUGUCCCUGUCAAUUUGCAUACUUGGAUGAGCUUGGCCAGACAGCAUGCUCACUGCAGUUAGACAAAUGCCUUUGUGUUAUCCAGGCAGCGAUCUGCAAAGUUAAUAGCACUCUCCACAUGCUUUCCAUCUCAGUUUCAAAUGUUUGGCAGAAUGAAAUACAUCAUUAUUUUAAAUUGGAUAGCAUGUUAACAUUUUAUCUAAAUAAUUGGAGGUUGGGUAUUUU
rnacentral:lncRNA from 1 species